rnacentral:rRNA from 1 species
UUAGUGGCGCACGGGUGCGUAACGCGUGGGAAUCUGCCCCUUGGUUCGGAAUAACAGUUGGAAACGACUGCUAAUACCGGAUGAUGACGUAAGUCCAAAGAUUUAUCGCCGAGGGAUGAGCCCGCGUAGGAUUAGGUAGUUGGUGUGGUAAAGGCGCACCAAGCCGACGAUCCUUAGCUGGUCUGAGAGGAUGAUCAGCCACACUGGGACUGAGACACGGCCCAGACUCCUACGGGAGGCAGCAGUGGGGAAUAUUGGACAAUGGGCGAAAGCCUGAUCCAGCAAUGCCGCGUGAGUGAUGAAGGCCUUAGGGUUGUAAAGCUCUUUUACCCGGGAUGAUAAUGACAGUACCGGGAGAAUAAGCUCCGGCUAACUCCGUGCCAGCAGCCGCGGUAAUACGGAGGGAGCUAGCGUUAUUCGGAAUUACUGGGCGUAAAGCGCACGUAGGCGGCUUUGUAAGUAAGAGGUGAAAGCCCAGAGCUCAACUCUGGAAUUGCCUUUUAGACUGCAUCGCUUGAAUCAUGGAGAGGUCAGUGGAAUUCCGAGUGUAGAGGUGAAAUUCGUAGAUAUUCGGAAGA